GCGAGGGGGAUACAAUGUUGCGAUAGACAUACACCGGCUGCGAGGAGUGGUAGGUCGUGACUCUUAGGAAGAGUUGCACCAUCACUUUCUAAAGUUUAACCUUGUUGUUUCACAACAUAGGCCAGCCUACACGUUAAAAAUCAAUGAAUUCUCAAUACGAGUCGGGACUACAAGCAACCCCUUCAACUGUAGCCUAAUGAUAAAAACAUGGAUACUUUGAGGUUGGGCGAAAAAUAUGAACAACUGUUACCUUGGCCGUGGAAGACAAAGGGGGUCCGCUCUUCAAAACAGAACAAUGCUCCUUCCCCUCGGUUGCCACAGCAUCGGACUCCCUGUUUCCCAUGCAGCCGGGUCGCAAACCAGGAAGGAAAAGGAAGAAAACACUUUGUCCGCAUAGCUGGUUCCUGUUGGCGGUGAGGGAGAGGUUGAGCAAUCCCCCGGGCCAUUGCGUAAGCUGCCCCCCUUCACUUUCAGGUGCAAGCGAGUGAGUCUGUCGGUGUGGCUGAAAGUCAAUCCUCUUCUAGGAAUGUGAUACGUAUCAGAGGAGUGGGACUGAGGUAAUGCCAUGCAAAUACUGCUCCAGCCCCACUGGCUACACAGACAGGCAGCACAGCACAGGGGAGGUUGCGCAAGACCCAAUGCCUGCUGUACAGUGGCAGACAAGCUCACAUAGGGGAGAGAGGUAGACCGAGAGAGGGAGAAAGGUAGACAGAGAGACAGAGGGAGGGUCAGGGGAAGACAGAGAGAGAGAGAGAGAGUGAGAGAGAGAGAGAAUACAAAAUAAGAGGCAGAGACAAAGGUGAAGAUAGAAGGUAUAGGGAGGAAGAGUAAAAAUAAGCAGUGAAAGAGAAAGCAAGAGAUUGACAGCCAGUGAAGCAGACAGUGUGUGACUGAGAAGCAGCUAGGGACAUAAUAAAACAAUGAAAAAGUAAGAGAGAGUAGAGGCUGAGAAAUUGGUGAGAAGCAUGAUUGACCGACAGAAAUCAGAGAGCCAAGAGAGAGAAAGUAAAAACAAUGAGAAGUAGACAAGCAACAGGUUGAGGGAGAGAGAAGGGUAGGCACAGAAAGUGAGGGAAAAAUACUCACUGAGAAAGAGAAUGGAAGGCAGAGAAAGUGAUGAAAAGAGACGUGAGAGAGAGAAACCAGCCACAUUGUUCAGACUACUACUACUACUACACACCAGGCACCUCUAGUAAUACUGAUCCCCGUACUGGCGCUGAGUUUUUUUCACUCAGGAUUUCUCUUUCGCCUUACCUCCGUGUGAGAGUCUGUUUUACGACCUUGCCACGGUUAAUGCUUGUGUGUGUGUAUAAGAUCCUGGGUAUGACACAACAGCCCAGACAGGGCUGUCUACAUACUUUACAGUGUACACCAUCAAAUGUAAUGCCAGGCAAUAACAGUGUUUCCCAUUGCAACAGAUGGAGCCGAGCGAGACUGAAUGCUAUCAUGCUUUAGCGAGUUGCAAUCAGUGUGAAACGAUGACCAACACUUAUGCCCGAUGUCCAGCAGAUGCAUAUGCGUUUUGUUUUGCCGGAUGUCUAGCCCGUAUUUUCCGUACAUGACGCACAUGUGCUUCGCUUUUCAACUAGCUAAACGCUAGCUAGUUGGAGUCUGUGUGUGUACUUCCAUUUGUCCCACCGCGCGGUUAACCUGUUAUGGAUAGGGGGCAGUAUU